rnacentral:rRNA from 1 species
UACGUAGGGGGCAAGCGUUGUCCGGAAUCAUUGGGCGUAAAGAGCGUGUAGGCGGCCCGGUAAGUCCGCUGUGAAAGUCCAGGGCUCAACCCUGGGAUGCCGGUGGAUACUGUCGGGCUCGAGUCCGGAAGAGGAGUGUGGAAUUCCUGGUGUAGCGGUGAAAUGCGCAGAUAUCAGGAGGAACACCAAUGGCGAAGGCGGCAUCCUGGACCAAUACUGACGCUGAAUAGCGAAAGCCAGGGGAGCAAACGGG